UCGAGCUUGGCUGGAUUUACUUAGAAAACAAUCCAUAAAUGAGGAAUUUUGACACUAAAGUUAACUGCAGAAGUUGCGGAAGUAGACAAGAAUCAUCCGACAUCUUUGAACCACGUAGAAAUCGAUAUUCCGGCUGUUUUUUUUUUUUGAGGAUUCUCUUCAGCGGGACUUCGAUCUUCAUCCAUCUGCUGCUGUGUGUCGAUGUCCAUCCAUGUCCAUAUCUCCAUCUCCAUCACACUGGAAUCGGCCAUCACCUCGGACCGUCUCGUCGGACAUUCAUCAUAAGGGGACGACCUGCUGUGAAUGCACUGUGUAACCCAGGGAGAUUGGAGGAAGCGGCAGCCAGGUGGCG
ensembl:lncRNA